rnacentral:rRNA from 1 species
UACGGGGGGGGCAAGCGUUGUUCGGAAUUACUGGGCGUAAAGCGCGCGUAGGCGGCUCUUCAAGUCGAGUGUGAAAGCUCCAGGCUUAACCUGGGAAUUGCGCUUGAUACUGUUGAGCUAGAGUGUGGAAGGGGCUACUGGAAUUCCGUGUGUAGCGGUGAAACGCGUAGAUAUACGGAGGAACACCAGCGGCGAAGGCGGGUAGCUGGGCUAACACUGACGCUGAUGCGCGAAAGCUAGGGGAGCAAACGGG